rnacentral:tmRNA from 1 species
GGGGCUGACAUAGCUUUCGACGAUGGGAAUUUAACAGGAUAUUUUGCAAGUCGACUGUACACGUAUACGUACAUUUUUAAUUGCAAACAACAAACUUGCAUUCCUUAAGGAUCUCUUCCCACAGAAGAGCCUUUCGGCUGUUGCUGCCUAAUAGCGCAACCAUUCGAGUUCACUAGGCGACAUAGCGAACUUUGAGUGUUAUAUUUAUGUCGCUCGCUGUAUAUAGGGAAGCGGCCUGUAUGUGGGACUUUUUCCGCGUAACUCGGUGUGAUGUUUCUGGCUAUAUUUUAGUCACAACGAGUUAUAAAACAAUUUAAUAUAGCCUAAGCUUGUAGACGAAUAUCCAUGUUACCUGUCGGACCGGGGGGCAGUACCCCGCAGCUCCACCA